AGAUGUCGAAGAACCCUUUUUACCACCUUCCAAUACUACAAGCUCAGGGCAUGCAUGACUUGUGAUAGUUUGUUUCUGUAAAUAAAAUAUCAAGACAUAUUGAAACACAAGUAUUUCAACUUACCAACUGUGCGGGGAUACUGUUAUGACCCGUGUUUUCACACGUUUGGAAAGACUUGAAUUACAUUGGAUUCUUGAGAUAUAAGAUCGAUUUGAUAUUUUGUUGAACAUAGGAGUUAUGCACGAAAGAAUAGAGUCAUGAAGUGUGGGACAAGACUAAGGGUAAUUUUGGAAUUUUGGAAAUUUGUUCCGGGAAUUACAAAAUGCAAUCCACAAAUUAUUGGGCUUGUAAAAUAAGAAGCAAAUUUAAGGCCCAAUGCAUUGUAGUGGCCGGCCAUGGUGGCCCAAGCCCAAAACUUUGUAUUAAAUUUCCAUAAGAUUAAUUGGCAUAAUGGCCUUGAUCCAAGUCCAUUAAGUGGUCAUGUGCUUGGUCAUGUGACCAAGUCAUUAUAAGAUAUACAUUAGAAGGUUCAAGACUUAGAAGCAAGAUCAAAAAAAUCAAGAACAACACAAAGAAAAAAAGAGGCUCUCGGGUUUGGCCAUGGAAAAAUAGCUAUCCAAAAUCUUGUUCCAAAAAUUUUUCUUUUGUGAUUUUCCUACUAAGUUAAGGUUCCUUUGUAACUUGGUAUAGUUGGUUUGGAGUGGGGAGCAUCCAAUUCACCAAAGUGAUCAUAUAUCCAAGUGAAGAAAACUUGAAGAAAAGUUUUUCGACGAAACGGGAAGCGAGAUUGGAAAGGCUUAAGGAGCGUGAAAGGUACGGACGACAGGUUUGCUGAUCCGCACGUUUAGGAUCCCAUUCCUGCUAUUUUGGGGCGCUCUCUUCUACAGAGCCCAUCUUUUGGUACAGUCUGUCACUGCUAUCUGGAUAUGUACUUUGUUCAGGGUAUGACGGGGCCCUGUCCCGUCUUAUGAUUAUGAUAUGUUCUGUAGAGGUCUGUGGAUACAUCUGUGUGGGUUCUGUACAUAUGUUUGGGAUGUUUUGUUUUAUGAUAGCCUUAUCGGCUUCUGUGUGCCAAGUCUGCUCUUCGGCUAAAUUCUGUAGCAUCCACUAAUGUUAUUAUUAUAUUAUUAUUCUGAUAAUAUGCUAAUUUGGGUAUCGGGUACGUAUA